AUUGAACGCUGGCGGCAGGCCUAACACAUGCAAGUCGAACGAGUGGCGGACGGGUGAGUAAUGUCUGGGAAACUGCCUGAUGGAGGGGGAUAACUACUGGAAACGGUAGCUAAUACCGCAUACCAUCGGAUGUGCCCAGAUGGGAUUAGCUAGUAGGUGGGGUAAAGGCUCACCUAGGCGACGAUCACUAGCUGGUCUGAGAGGAUGCCCAGCAACACGGGAACUGGGACAUGGUCCAGACUCCUACGGGAGGAAGCAGUGGGUAAUAGUGCACAAUGAGCGCAAGCCUGACGCAGCCAGGCGGCGUGUAUGAAGAAGGCUUUCGGGCUGUAAAGUACUUUCAGCGGGGAGGCGUUACCCGCAGAAGAAGCACCGGCUAACUCCGUGCCAGCAGCCGCGGUAAUAC
rnacentral:rRNA from 1 species